rnacentral:rRNA from 1 species
AUUGAACGCUGGCGGCAGGCCUAACACAUGCAAGUCGGGCGGCAGCGGGGGAAAGCGUGCUUUCCUGCCGGCGAGCGGCGGACGGGUGAGUAAUGUCUGGGGAUCUGCCCGAUGGAGGGGGAUAACCACUGGAAACGGUGGCUAAUACCGCAUGAACUCUGAGGAGCAAGGUGGGGGACCUUCGGGCCUCACGCCAUCGGAUGAACCCAGAUGGGAUUAGCUAGUAGGUGGGGUAACGGCUCACCUAGGCGACGAUCCCUAGCUGGUCUGAGAGGAUGACCAGCCACACUGGGACUGAGACACGGCCCAGACUCCUACGGGAGGCAGCAGUGGGGAAUAUUGCACAAUGGGCGCAAGCCUGAUGCAGCCAUGCCGCGUGUAUGAAGAAGGCCUUCGGGUUGUAAAGUACUUUCAGCGGGGAGGAAGGCGUGAAACCGAAUACG